CUCUCUCUCUCUCUCUCUCUCACCCUAUCAGCUCAGUUUAAAGUCUUCUUAAUCUAGCUCUCUCUACAAUUUUUCUGUAUUAGCCAAUUCUCAUCAUUACUUGGCUUCUUCAAAAGUUGCUUCAUUUCUUCAUCAUGUGAUUAAAGUAACAUUCACAGAAGAGGAAAUUACAAUUAGAAGAAUGAGCUUGCUGCUGCCACUUACAGCUUUUAUAAUUAAAAAACUUUAAAUUUUCCAACAUUGGCAGUCAUAUCAUGGCUCCAUAUAGCUGACCCUAAUUAGUUUGGGAUUAAGGCUUAGUUG
rnacentral:misc_RNA from 1 species